rnacentral:miRNA from 1 species
CCUGGAACUCACUAUGUAGGCCAGGCUGGCGUUGAACUCACAGAGAUCCGCCUGCCUCUGACUCCCAAGUGUUGGGAU